UUGUGAAAAGUGUAGAUACUCCCAGGGGAGUGUGUGGAACAAAUGAGCAUUAUCCAUUCUGUGUUUUAAUUAGAGGAAAAGCUGCUAUUUCAUUGUAGCAAAUGUACUGAUUUGUUAACUGUUUUUCUAUUAUUGCAUAUUUAUUGAUGAUAGGUGUUUGACCUGGUGAUGCUUUUCAUCAUCUAUAGCACCAAUACUCAGACAAAGAAGUAUAUUGAAAGGGUGCUAAGAAAUAAGAUUCGAUCAGCCUGCAUUCAAGAACAGCUGCUCCAGAGUACAUUCUCUGUUCAUUACUUAGUUCUUAAGGAUAUGUGUUCAUCCAUUCUGUCGCUGGCUCAGAGUUUGCUUCACUCUCUAGACCAGAGUAUAAUUUCAUUUGGGAGUCUCCUAUACAAAUAUGCAUUCAAGUUUUUUGACAUGUACUGCCAGCAGGAAGUGGUUGGUGCCUUAGUGACCCAUAUCUGCAGUGGGAAUGAAGCUGAAGUUGAUACUGCCUUAGAUGUCCUUCUAGAGUUGGUAGUGUUAAACCCAUCUGCUAUGAUGAUGAAUGCUGUCUUUGUAAA
rnacentral:sRNA from 1 species